UACGUAGGUCCCGAGCGUUGUCCGGAUUUAUUGGGCGUAAAGCGAGCGCAGGUGGUUCAUUAAGUCUGGUGUAAAAGGCAGUGGCUCAACCAUUGUAUGCAUUGGAAACUGGUAGACUUGAGUGCAGGAGAGGAGAGUGGAAUUCCAUGUGUAGCGGUGAAAUGCGUAGAUAUAUGGAGGAACACCGGUGGCGAAAGCGGCUCUCUGGCCUGUAACUGACACUGGGGCUCGAAAGCGUGGGGAGCAAACAGG
rnacentral:rRNA from 1 species